rnacentral:rRNA from 1 species
AUUGAACGCUGGCGGCAUGCCUUACACAUGCAAGUCGAACGGUAACAGGUCUUCGGAUGCUGCCGAGUGGCGUACGGGUGAGUAAUACAUCGGAACGUGCCCGAUCGUGGGGGAUAACGAAGCGAAAGCUUUGCUAAUACCGCAUAAGAUCUACGGAUGAAAGCAGGGGACCGCAAGGCCUUGCGCGAACGGAGCGGCCGAUGGCAGAUUAGGUAGUUGGUGGGAUAAAAGCUUACCAAGCCGACGAUCUGUAGCUGGUCUGAGAGGACGACCAGCCACACUGGGACUGAGACACGGCCAAGACUCCUACGGGAGGCAGCAGUGGGGAAUUUUGGACAAUGGGCGAGAGCCUGAUCCAGCCAUGCCGCGUGCAGGAUGAAGGCCUUCGGGUUGUAAACUGCUUUUGUACGGAACGAAAAGACUCUGGUUAAUACCUGGGGUCCAUGACGGUACCGUAAGAAUAAGCACCGGCUAACUACGUG